rnacentral:rRNA from 1 species
CAAUAGCGUAUAUUAAAGUUGUUGCAGUUAAAAAGCUCGUAGUUGGAUUUCUGGUAGGAGCGACCGUGCCGAACUUGAUUGUUCGAGUAUUGUGUUGUCUUCAGCCAUCCUCGUGGAGAACUUUUCUAACAUUAACUUGUUGGGAUUGGGACCCGCGUCGUUUACUGUGAAAAAAGUAGAGUGUUUAAAGCAGGCAUUAGCUUGAAUACAUUAGCAUGGAAUAAUAAGAUAGGACUUUGGUACUAUUUUGUUGGUUUGCAUACCAAAUUAAUGAUCAACAGGAACAGUUUGAGGAUAUUCGUAUGAACAUGUCAGAGGUGAAAUUCUUGGAUUUUGAUCAGACGAACUACUGCGAAAGCAUUUAUCAAGGAUGUUUUCAUUAA